rnacentral:tRNA from 1 species
GGGUCGUUAGCUGGUAGAGCAGUUGACUUUUAAUCAAUUGGUCGCAGGUUCGAAUCCUGCACGACCCACCA